GAGAAAACAUAGUGAGAGAGAACCAGAGCAUCGACGGUUUAUAUUAACACGACGGCGGAGACUAGACGGACGUCGAUUAUAUUCAAAGAGAAUACAUCCAACUUUGAUUACCCUCAAAGCAAAUCGCUUGCGAACGGUGGUGUUGGGGGAUGUCGGUGGCACAAGAAGAGAUCUGAGCCACGGUGAGGCUAUCAUUUGAUCAAUCCCAAAACCAAGAUUUGGUUCCCGUGAUGAGAAGGUCUAGUUUUGCCGCAAUAGGGAGUAAUACCACUGCCGCACAGCGCUCGACGCGGAAGGUAGCGAUUUCUAAGCCUGAAAAUGUGGGAUGGAAGAGUGUGGUGAGGAUAUUUGGCAAACAGCUUGGUGCACGCUUCUUCAAUCCCUUAUUUUAAAAUCAAGUGUUUUGAUAUGUUGUUAGCUGGUAUCAAAGUGGUGAUGAUGGUACAUAGACGACGGAGGACGUGACUCAGAGACAUGGUGGAAGUAUAAUAAUUUAGAGUUUUAGAGGUAGAAGAAGACAAACCAAAGACAAUGGUAGAAGUAUAAUGAUGUUUGAUUUUUGAAACUUUGAUUGUAUUUCUAUUAGACAAGUUAAUAGUUGUUGAGGUAGUUGUGAUUGAGUUU